rnacentral:rRNA from 1 species
GAGGGUGAUCGGCCACAUUGGAACUGAGACACGGUCCAAACUCCUACGGGAGGCAGCAGUGGGGAAUAUUGCACAAUGGGCGAAAGCCUGAUGCAGCAACGCCGCGUGAGUGAUGAAGGCCUUCGGGUCGUAAAACUCUGUCCUCAAGGAAGAUAAUGACGGUACUUGAGGAGGAAGCCCCGGCUAACUACGUGCCAGCAGCCGCGGUAAUACGUAGGGGGCUAGCGUUAUCCGGAUUUACUGGGCGUAAAGGGUGCGUAGGCGGUCUUUCAAGUCAGGAGUGAAAGGCUACG